GUGUCAGCCGCCGCGGUAAUACAGAGGUGCCAAGCGUUGUUCGGAUUUAUUGGGCGUAAAGGGUGCGUAGGCGGCUAUACAAGUCGGAUGUGAAAUACCGGAGCCUAACUUCGGAACGGCAUUCGAAACUGUAUAGCUAGAGAUCUGCAGAGGUGAUUGGAAUUCUCGGUGUAGCAGUGAAAUGCGUAGAUAUCGAGAGGAACACCAGAGGCGAAAGCGAAUCACUGGACAGAAUCUGACGCUGAGGCACGAAAGCUAGGGGAGCAAACGGGAUUAGAAACCCCUGUAGUCC
rnacentral:rRNA from 1 species